AGUGAUAACAAUAAAAAUAAAAAAUGGUAACAAUAAGAACUUCAACGACAGUUGCAAUAAUAACCAGGUAUAUCAACGAUAUAUCUCAGAUAGUAAAUCAUUCAUAAAACAAAAAACAGAAGAUAGUGACACAACAUAUGUACCAGAUAUGUUCUAUGAAUUUAAUGACAAUCUAUCUAUAAAUUAUAAUGAAGAUGUUUUUACAUUUAGAGCCCCAAAUGCCAAGUGUUUUAAAUUAAGGCAAUUGUUUUCAUGUUCUAAAGUUAUUAGAUUUUUUUUCAAAAAAUUAAAAUCAUGUGAUAAUAAAAUAAAAUACAUAACAAUGGAUUCGUAUAAGUACAAUGAAGUAAUAAAUACUGCCACUGGGAGACACAGUGGUUAUCGUAAUAAAUUAAAAUAUGCUUCAAAAAUUAAAAAAUUUAAUGAAUGGUAUAAUAUAUGGGUGAAAGAUCUUUUAUUUGAUUACUACACAAAAACAGGUAUAUUAAUUUUAUUAUUACUAAUUUUAAAUAUAUUAAAUAUAUUUUUACAAACAAUAUCAUUUUAUUUUUUAUUAAAAAAAAGCAGAUUUGACCAAUAUAAUACCAAUUGAAUCUAAUAAAACUAUAACAAAACCAAUAAUGAAUGAAAACUAUGACAUUAACCAUAUGAUUAAUUUCACAAACCUAUGUUACUACAUAGCUUUAAGAAUACCUAUGCAACUUAUUUUAAAUGUAUUAUUGGUACUACCAUCUAUAAUAAUUAAAAAAAGUAAAUAUUUACAUUUAUUUAACAUAUGUAGUAUUUUAAAUUGUUUAGUAAACAUAAUUUUUGGUAAUAUAGACAUUUAUUACUCCUUGAAUCCAAAAAUAUUUUACAGAAGUAACGUAGAUAAGGUAUUAUUUUAUUACAACAUGUUAGACAUAUUUUACAUUGGAAAAAUAUGUACAAGUAUAUUUAUAAUCCCAUUUAUUACUAACUUUAGUGAUAUGAAAACGUUUAUAUUAGUAUGUUUAAGUUUUAUGAGUUAUACAAUAGUAGGAUAUGAUCAAAUCCAUGUCACUUCGUCUAAAGUUCAUUUUAUUCUGAAUACAUUAAUUAUUUGCAUUGUCAUUAUUUCUAUAUUAACCUUCAAAUACUCAAAGUUGUUGAUACAAUUAAGAAAACUUUUAUUUAUCAAAUACGUUUUACCUUACUAUACGUAUUUAACAUUAAUUAAAGAAAGUCCCGUCAUAAAAAUGGAAAUUAACAAAACCGUAGUCUAUCACAUACAAACAGCGAUGAUAGCUAGAUUUAAAAUUUUAUAUGUUACAUUUGUAACCACACUAAAUGAAUUAACAAGCUCACAUAAGAAAAUAUAUUUGUUUUUACGAUUUUUUUUAAUGUACAUAUUUGACACGAUUUGUUAACAUAUACAUGUGAUGAUGCAUUUUGGCAUUUGCUAUUUGUUAUUUGUUCUUAUUUGCUGUUUGUUCUUA
rnacentral:lncRNA from 1 species